rnacentral:lncRNA from 1 species
GCUAAACGCUUUGCUGUACUACACAUCCCAAGUGCUUGGGUGCAUUAUGAACGAUUGUCCUGUGGUAACUUCUUAUUGUAAGCAAAAUCUGAAACUUGAGUCAUACAACUAAUGCAGUGCCUGAAGGACAGAGGGUGUGCUGGGAGUUAUGCUAUGUUCGAACAAAUCAAGCCCCAGCUUUGAACAGGGCCAGCGAAGAUGCACUGUCUUCCCUUGUAGAAGAGCUGUUGAACACUUCACAACUGCCAAGAAUGCCUAGAGAGCUCUCCUUUCCUGUGUAUCUGCUCCCCCCUCACCCCCUCCAGUGGAUCAUUAGCGUUAAACUAACAUGUACAGUACUUUUCCACAUGCCCCCCCCAGCACACAUCAGGAUUAUUAUUUCUCAGCAACCAAAGCUCUGAUUCAAACAGAAUAUCCUUAAACUAACUUGAGUCCUGAACCUGCAAGAGGAUCUACAAAGCUAGACCUUCUCACAUGUGUAUGAGCUCACUGGAAGCUGCCGAGACAAAAGGGGACUCUGCCUCUUGGUACUGGGGAAAGAUGUAUGAUCAUUUUAAAUACACUCACUUCAAUUAGUCCAAUUAAUUUAAUAAUAGAGGCAACUUUAAAAAAGAAACAACUGGAAAAUUUUGAAAAGCAAGGAUGAGAAAGAUGCAUUUCAAACAUGGGCUCUUCCAUUUGCAAUCUAUGACCUUGGGGAAGUGGCUUGACCUUCUUGUGCCUGUAACAGUCUGUAGUUAAUGUCUGGGGGCAGCAAAGGAACCUUGUGAAAUUUAAUUAACGGGUGUAAAAUUCUUUGAAAAGUACUUUGCAGUUAAAGUGUCAGAUGGUAAAUACCUGAUGUGCCGUAACAGUUUCUGGCCAACUGCUAAAUCUCUGAUCCCUUUUCAUGCUGGAGCUACCUCUGCAAGCCCAGGGAUUCGUUUGGGGAGGAAAGAAUGGGUAGCCUGUGGUGCAACACUACAGAGCUUGUAUUAAAAUAGUGUCUGGGCAUGGGGAAAUAAUCCCUAGAAAAAAUCUAUUUGAUUAAAUUUACU